rnacentral:tRNA from 1 species
GGUGUUUAGCUGCGUGGUAAAGUGUUUGCCUAGCAUGCAUGAGAUUCUGGGUUCAAUUCCUAGUACCA